rnacentral:rRNA from 1 species
GGAGUCUGGGCCGUGUCUCAGUCCCAAUGUGGCCGUUCAACCUCUCAGUCCGGCUACCGAUCGUCACCUUGGUGGGCCCUUACCCCGCCAACCAGUUAAUCGGACGCGAGUCCAUCUUCCAGCGGAUUGCUCCUUUGGUAUCUCUGCCAUGCGACAGUUAUACAUUAUGCGGUAUUAGCGUUCUUUUCAGAACGUUAUCCCCCUCUGAAAGGCAGGUUACUCACGCGUUACUCACCCGUCCGCCACUAAGUUACUCGGAAGCAAGCUCCCCAAGCAACUCCGUUCGACUUGCAUGUGUUAGGCACGCCGCCAGCGUUCGUCCUGAGCCAUGAUCAAACUACU